rnacentral:ncRNA from 1 species
UCUUAUCCAGAGAGACCGAGGGACUUGGCCCGAUGACGUCUCAGCAACCUGCUCACGCAAGGUGCUGCUGCCAACAGGUAUUUUCAACCUGGCCGAUGAGG